ACGGGAGGCAGCAGUGGGGAAUAUUGCACAAUGGGCGAAAGCCUGAUGCAGCGACGCCGCGUGAGCGAAGAAGUAUUUCGGUAUGUAAAGCUCUAUCAGCAGGGAAGAAUAAUGACGGUACCUGACUAAGAAGCACCGGCUAAAUACGUGCCAGCAGCCGCGGUAAUACGUAUGGUGCAAGCGUUAUCCGGAUUUACUGGGUGUAAAGGGAGCGCAGGCGGUACGGCAAGUCUGAUGUGAAAGCCCGGGGCGCAACCCCGGUACUGCAUUGGAAACUGUCGAACUAGAGUGUCGGAGGGGUAAGUGGAAUUCCUAGUGUAGCGGUGAAAUGCGUAGAUAUUAGGAGGAACACCAGUGGCGAAGGCGGCUUACUGGACGAUCACUGACGCUGAGGCUCGAAAGCGUGGGGAGCAAACAGGAUUAGAUACCCUGGUA
rnacentral:rRNA from 1 species